rnacentral:rRNA from 1 species
UACGUAGGUGACAAGCGUUGUCCGGAUUUACUGGGCGUAAAGAGCGCGCAGGCGGUCGUUCAAGUCGAGUGUGAAAGCCCCCGGCUCAACUGGGGAGGGUCAUUCGAUACUGAUCGACUCGAAGGCAGGAGAGGGAAGUGGAAUUCCCGGUGUAGUGGUGAAAUGCGUAGAUAUCAGGAGGAACACCAGUGGCGAAGGCGACUUCCUGGCCUGUUCUUGACGCUGAGGCGCGAAAGCUAGGGGAGCAAACGGG